rnacentral:rRNA from 1 species
GAUGAACGCUGGCGGCGUGCUUAACACAUGCAAGUCGAACGGUAAGGCCCAACCUUGCUUGGGUGCUCGAGUGGCGAACGGGUGAGUAACACGUGGGUAAUCUGCCCUGCACUUCGGGAUAAGCCUGGGAAACUGGGUCUAAUACCGGAUAGGACCAUGGCUUGGAUUCCAUUGUGGAAAGUUGUGUCGGUGUGGGAUGAGCUCGCGGCGUAUCAGGUCGUUGGGGGGGUAAAGGCCUACCAAGGCGUCGACGGGGAGCCGGCCUGAGAGGGUGUACGGCCACAUUGGGAGCGCGAUAUGGCCCAGGCGCCAGCGGGGGGCAGUAGUGGGGAAUAUUGGACAAUGUGAGCCAGCCUGACGCAGUGAGGCCGCGUGGGGGAUGAGUGGCUUCGGGUUGUAGACUCCUUUCGCUAGGGAAGAAGCGUUUUUGUGACGGUACCUGGUGAAGAAGCACCGGCUAACUACGUG